rnacentral:rRNA from 1 species
UUGCCUACGGGGCGCAGCAGUGAGGAAUAUUGGUCAAUGGGCGGAAGCCUGAACCAGCCAAGUCGCGUGAGGGAAUAAGGCCCUACGGGUCGUAAACCUCUUUUGCCGGGGAGCAAGGGCGGGGACGUGUCCCGGCCCGGAGAGUACCCGGAGAAAAAGCAUCGGCUAACUCCGUGCCAGCAGCCGCAGUAAUACGGAGGAUGCGAGCGUUAUCCGGAUUUAUUGGGUUUAAAGGGUGCGUAGGCGGACUGUUAAGUCAGCGGUAAAAGCCCGGGGCUCAACCCCGGCGAGCCGUUGAAACUGGC